ACACAUCCUCAGGGUUGGGAUCUCCAAAAUCACAAGCCCUCGACGAGGCAAUGCAAAGUUUACAAAGAAUGGCUCCCGAGUCAAGAAGCUCUCGACAACUCGGGGACUUUCGUCAAAACACCAUCUCCAUUGACUCACCAAAACACGAGGCCAUAAGACCCUGAGCAGGUAGAUUCAGUCCAUAAGACCUACACAAGGCAACAACUACAUCUGUGAGACCUUAACGACAUGAAAAAUCUUUAAGACCUCAACGGCCUGAAAAAUCUAUAAGACCUCAAUGACCUGAAAAAUCUGUAAGACCUCAACAACAUGAAAAUUCUAUAAGACCUCAGUGGCAUGACAAAACUGUAAGACCUCAAGAAAGGCAUGAAUCACACUCGUACCGAUUAUCGACAGCAUAAAUUGUAAUACAUCAAGCAAGGCAUUAAUCACACUAGUACUGAGUAUCGACAUCACGAACUGUAAGACCUCAAGCAAGGCAUGAACCAUACUCGUACCAAGUAUCAACAAAACUAUAAGCCCCCUAAAGGCAUGAAAUUUUUUUAAGACCUUACUACAUGCAUAAACCCAAUCCCAAAGUUUAGGCUAUAUGUCGCAUUUGUAAGAAUCCUGAAAGGGCAUACCCUCGAUGUAGAUGCCUACACUACUACACACGAGAUCAAAAAUGACUCUGGCCAAAUGCAAAUGACUACGGUCACUCGGCUUUACCAACCCAAUUAGCGCGACUCAGAAAUGCCCGACCGUUGUUAUAAAAUCAUAGGCCAUUACUUCGAAUCUACUUCGAAAAGAACCGGUUACACAGGCUACCCUAGAAAUGCAAAAGAGCUUCGACCAUGUCAUCCCCAAAUCACAAGGCUUCAAGCUACUCAGCCUACGAGCUAAACCUUCCGAGGUGCUCGAACAUUGCCACAAACAACUUGAAAUCGAGGUUCUUCCCAAAUUGAUGACGGGUAAGGAAAAAUCAUUUCAAAAGUCCUUAAAGAGAGGAAAACAAAGCCUACAUAUGCCCAAGGGAAAAAGCGUAAGAGCUAUUGUCGCCAGCCUAACGACCCUCAUGGCCACACACUAAAAGUUCAUAACGACCAAAAGCGUAAGAGCCACUGUCGCUAGCUAAAAUAUUUGAAUGUUUAUGGGUCAAAGUGAGCUCGAGUCGUAACCCAAUUCGGAGGCCAAAUCCUAAGGGCAUAGCGUAAGAGCCAUCGUCGCCAGCUUCAUGAGCCUUAGUGCCACAUAUAUAAAAGGUUGCUUCGACCCAAGGCGUAAGAGCCGUUGUCGCCAGCCCAAAAAAAUACAGAACAUGAGGUUCAAUUGUGCUCGAGCAAACCAUUUAGAAUGUAGUUCAGUAAAUAAACAAAUUGUCAUUAAAUGUUUGGCUUCCACCUAGACAUGUAUGUGCGGUGGAAGUCCUAUAUUUAUGACACAUAAAACCUACUAGAAUAAAAGAUAUAUAUAUCACAUGCUUAUCCCUAUAUCUUUGUAUUUAAUGUAUAUAAAAUUUAUCCACAGAAUUAAGAACUUAGCUCCUAACUCCAUAGAAUCAUUCGCCAUGCUAGCAGACUCCUUCACAAAGGCAAAUGCUGGUUCCAUCAAUGUAGCAACGAGGAAGCCCAACGUUUUCAAGAUUAAGCAAAGGGAAAACGAGAUGCUGCGAGAAUUCAUAUCUCACUUUCAAAUGGAAGGGAUGGAGUUACCACCAGUCUCCGAUGACUGGGUUGUGCAGGAUUUCACUCAAGGUCUGGAUGAACGAAGGUUGGUGGCUUCAAAACAAUUAAAAUAGAAUUUGAUCGAGUAUCCAGCUGUGACCUGGUCGGACGUCCACAACUGGUAACAGUCAAAAAUUAGGGGCGAGGAUGACCAGUUGGGAACCCCUCGAGCUUAGUAUACGUAAGCACGCUCCUAGCAAAGGAGCCAAAACCAAAAAAAGAAAGAUAUCAGCCAUACAUCGAAGAUAGGAGGAACGCCGCAAUGAUCGAAGGAUAGACCAAGGACUAGACCCUCGAGGAAUAUCCAACAGAGCCAGAUUUGAUAGGAACGCAGGGCUAACAGGGGCACUGCACUUAUCGGAAUACAACUUCAACGUCGAUGUAUCAGACAUCGUGUUCGCCAUCAGUAAAAUUAGAGAUGCCAGGUGGCCCAGGCUUGUACAACCGGACCCUUCACAAAGGAAUCAUAACUUAGUGUGCGAGUUUCAAAACACGCACGCCCACAUGAUCGAGGGUUGCCAACAACUCUGGGAAGAGGUAGCUCGACUACCUAACAAAGGUCAUUUCCGGGAAUUCCUUAGCGAAGAGCCGAAAAUCAGUUCCGGGAAAGAGAGGCGACCAAGAAAAACAAAGCAAAUGAGCCACAACAUGUCAUCCACAUGAUCUUGGGAGGCGUCGAUGGCCCGUAGGAACUCGUAAUAAGAAAGACAAAAAUAUCCAUCACCAGAGAAAAGCGAACCCGGGGAUAUAUUCCCAAGGACGCCCUCACAUGCAGUGAAGAGGACAUCGAGACCUUGUCUCAACCUCACAAUGACACACUGGUAAUCUCUUUCCUUGUAAAUUCUUUUCAGAUAAAACAUGUACUCGUAGAUCUAGGUAGCUCGACCAACAUUAUCAGGUCGAGGGUGAUAGAGCAGCUCAGACUUCUUUACCAAAUCGUGCCCGCCACUCGAGUCAUCAACAGAUUCAUUUAACAUGGCAAGUGAAACAACAAAAGGUCGAUGCAAUAUUGGGCUGCUGGAAUUUCAUCACUUAUUGAUCAGAUUUGAUCUUUACAGUGAUUAUGUUCUAUUUUUAUCAAGAUCAACUGGUUAUGUCAAGUCAAAAGGUGAUGAAUUCUUUUUUAGAACAUUCCCAUGGACGUUAGGAUUCAAUCCAAAGUAGGAAACGUCCAUGGCAGUCGUAUGGACUUCCUUUCCAGGUUUGCCACCUAAUUUCUUCGCUAAGAGGUCGUUAAUAUCGAUUGCUUCAGCUGUUGGUAAGGCUAUUGUUGUGGACAAGGAGACGCAAGAAAAAACUCGACCUAGUGCUGCUAGGGUCAAGGUAAUUCUUGAUUUGCUCGAAAAUCGUCCUAAAAAGGUUAAGCUACAGAUUGUGGAUAGAAUUUCGGGUAAAAUCAAUGUAUAUUACCAGGAGGUGGUGUAUGACAAUCUUCCUAAAUAUUGCACUUUUUGCAAACAUCAAGGACAUGACGACAAUGUGUGUCGAUUAAUGAAGGAACAAGCUGGAAAGGAUGUGAGGUCAGAGGUUGUUAAUUUGCCUGUUAUGGAGGCGAACAAUAUUCAGAAGCUACAAGGAGAUGCAAGAAACUAUCUGAAGGCCAAAAGAGAGAAUCAAAGAUAUAUGGAAACAACAGCUAGCAAGCAGGUAGAUGAAGCAACACAAGGAACUUUGGUCGACCAACAGGUGUUACAUACAGAUGGAGGAAAACAUAUUUUUACUUUGAACAGUGACCAAGUGAUGCAUCGAACAACUGAUAGUAUUUCUUUAGUUGAUACCUCAUUGAUUGAGAAAGCAGGGGUGGAAGGUUUGGUUAAUAAGAAUGUUGUACCAAAUGUUACUGCAUUAGCUGGGAAUGAAAUUCCAUGUUCUAAAGACUCAGAGAUGACUAAACCAAUAGCAGCUCAUGCUACAUUACCAAAUAAUGCAAUUGAAAAAAUUGCGGGGCAGCAAAUGCAAUCUCAGUCGCAGGAUUCCCAGAGGAGAAAUUCAGUUUCAACUGUAGUUGCUAAGGACAAAGGUACAAGAGCUAAAUGCUCAAUUUUGGAGAAUUUUGUAGCAUUAAAGACAGCAGGUUCAGUGAAUGCGAUCUGGGAUAGAGAUGUACAACUAACAAAAUUGUCAAGCAAAUAUGCAGAUGUGACUUUGAACGAUAUUGCAAUACCAUGUAAAACUGGUGCAGCUGCUACUUUUUCGAAGUUGGAUGAUACAGUUGCAUUAAAUUCUACUGCUGAUCGAGCUAUAUCUAGGAGUAUUAAACCUGUUGUUGUGGUUCAUUUUCUUGUAAAACCAACAGGUCCUAUAGCUACUGAUGUACAUAAGGAGCAGCAAGCUGGAGAUGAUCAUGGAGCUGCUGAAGUUACAAAUUCGAAGGCUACUGUUGCAUUGAAGGGAGCUGGUGAUCGAGUAGCUGCAGGGGUUGCUAAACCUACUGCUGAUCGAGCAACUAAUGCCAAACCAGUAGGUGAUCGAGAUUCUGCAGUAGUUGAUUUAGUUGAAAAACCUGUAGGUGAGGUGCAUAAAAAAGAUCAUAGGACUGGGCAACAAGCAGUUACACAAAAGCCUCUUCUACGUGAUGGUGAGGACCAGAUCAAGCAACCUUUGGUCACUUUGUCAAAUUCAAUCACAUGCUCAAAUUUGAAAAGGGAACAUGAAAAUGGUCUUAAACUAAGGUUUCGAUUUGCCAGCCAUCGUGUGGAAAGAGUUAUCAAGGAUGAACUUCAAAUACUAUAUUUUGAGAAUACUUUGACUGGAAAAUUAAAGAACAAGUUGGAGGCUCCAGAUUUCAUUCCAACUAAGCCUCCUUGUCUCACAUGUAUUCACCACCUAGAUAGACCACCAAACACUGUGGAGGACCACAUUGGAACAAGCAAAGCAGGUGCUAUCUGGAUGAAAUUGCAACAAGGUCCGACAAGGAAGGAAUGGUUAGGCGACCUCAAAUGAGAGCUGCCAAACAAAAGCAGGCUGCCCCAACUUCGUCAGCGAGGUCCAACCGGUCAAAAAAUAGACGAUGAUUCUUGAAUACUUUUUGAACAAGGUAGAUGAAAACGACAAAGAAGUAAAAAUUGAAGAUUUUACAAGGUUGAAAAAAAAAGGGACAACAAUCAAAUGGGUACUACAUUUUAUUCUACCACUUUAUUAGUAUCCUCAUCUGUAAUAUCAUCACAGAGUAUGUUAUAAACUCUGUGAUGACCAUAGAAUAUUUAGUCCUUUUAAGUUCAUAUUUUUUACAUUCUUGUUAAUAGGCGAGGUUGACAAUCCUCAAUAGGAUUACUACAGUAAGGUUAGCCCGGUUUGUGUUAUAUAGGUAACAAUACCGGUGCUAUUAUCCCCCUUAUUUGUACUUUUCCUAAUUGAUGUAUUUUUCUUUUCUGUUAUUAAUAAAAAACUAGCCCGAGGCACUUGCCUAGUGGAUUGCCAAAAAAAAAAGGAGAAAUCACACUCCCAGUCACCGUGGCCGGCAUGACCCAAAACGCUAAAUUCCAUGUCAUCGAAGAAACAUGAGGUAUAACGCCUUGUUCGAACGUCCGUGGAUACAUUGCAUAAGAGCAGUACCAUCCACUCUCCACCAAAUGAUGAAAUUCCCAAUAAAGGAUGAAAUUAAAAUCGUCUACGGGGAACAACAUGUGGCAAGGGAAAUGUUCGCGGUGCAUGACGUGGCACCGGUACCCAUACCUCCGCUCGUAAAAGAGCCAAAGGGUAAUCAAUCCACACCCCUGAUUAAGCCUAACUAAACAAAAUAAAGUAUCGUACCACGUCCUCAUCUCGAGUGAUUAGAACAUAUCGAUCCUCAAAACAUCACCGACACGUCUCACACUAAGGUAUAACCAUCUCCCUUUUCAUUUCGUAUUUAAGACUAACCCUUAUGCAGGUGCCCGAUCGAAGCAGUCAGAACGUUAACUCAUCUCGAAGACCUUGAGCUUUUAAAGCAUCCGUUUCACUCUUUUCCUUCCAUCGAGUUUUUGUCCCGAAAAGGAUUUUACUGGCAAGGUUUUUAACGAGGCAACAUCUGCAUGCUGCCUAAGGGAGAUUCAACAAGUGUCUGAGGCUUCUUUUUCAAUCAACCUCGAACACUGAGGGGCAUCCCCCCUAAAGGUUAUCUGCUAGGAAAAGCUAAGAGACGCUGAAUCGGGCCUUUAUAGGAAAAUGAUGUACUGGGCCAAACGGUUGAAAGAACUGUGUCCAAAUAACUGGGCCCCCGACGGCGAAAACGUGUACACUUGUACAAGAAUAUUUGUUAUCAAAGCAUCUCACGCAUCAAAAGAGGCUCAGCACCUUCGCAAAAAAAACUCAUCUGCAGAAAACGUCCCGAACACUAGGGACUGGUGUCAACAAUUCAACACCGAAAUGACCUCUGGGUCGGGACUCCAAAAUCGUAAGCCCUUAGAUAAGGCAACACGGAAAUUGCUAAACAUCUCCAACGCCAAAAGCACCUCGAAUACUCGAGGUAGAAUCAAAAUCUCAAAAGAAAAAUGCAUGGCCUCAUGGUCGGGAUCUCUAAAAUCAUAAGCCCUCGACGAGGCAAUGCAAAGUUUGCAAAAAAUGGCUGUCGAGUCAAGAAACUCUCGACGACUCGGGGAUUACCGUCAAGCGCCACCUCCAUCGACAUAUCAAGACCCGAGGUCAUAAGACCCCGAGCGGGCAGACUCGGUCUCGUAAGACCUACAUAAGGUAGCGAUCAUAUCUGUAAGACCUCAAGCAAGGUAUGAACAAUACUUGUACCAAGUAGCCAAACCUGUAAGACCUCAACGACAUGUAAAACUGUAAGACCUCGAUGAUAUGUAAAACUGUAAGACCUCAAUGUCAUGUAAAACUUGUAGGACCUCGCUAAAGACAUAGACCCGAUCCCAAGGUUUUGGCUAUAUAUCGAACUUUUAAGACACCUAAAAAGGCAUACCCUCGAUAUAGAUGCCGAAACUACUUCACUCGGGACUCAAAGGCUCUGGCCAAACACAAGUGACUCCGAUCACACGGAUGUACUAGCCGAACUAAUGCGACUCGAGGAUGUCUGAUAAUCACUACAAGGCGUAAGAUCCAUUGUCUCCACACCACACAAGACUACAAAUAACUCAGAAUCUACUUUGAAAAGAACCGGUUAAAUAGGCUCCCCUCAGCCUAUGAGCCAAACCUCUCGAGGUGCUCGAAUAUCGCCGCAUGUUACUUGAAAUCUUGGUUAUUCCCAAUCCGAUGAUGAGUCAGGCAAAAAUUACUUCAAAAAUCCUUAAUGAGAGGAAAAUAAUCCAUACAUAAAUGGUCCCACCGACCGAGCACGUAAGAUCCAUUGUCGCCAGCCUAAUGAGCCUCAGGGCCAUACACACCAAAGGUCGCAUCGACCUAAAGGGCAAGAGCCACUGUCACCAGCUUGAAAUCUAAAAACUUGAGGGUCAAAAUCAGCUCGAGUCGUAAACUAAAUAUGCCUAAGAGCAAGGCGUAAGAGCCAUUGUCGCCAGCCCGCAUCGGCCCAUGGCAUAAGAGCCACUAUCGCCAACCCACUUACAUUAGAAGGUCGUAUCGGCCCGAGGCAUAAGAGCCAUUGUCGCCAGCCCGCGUACACUAAUAGGACACAUCGGCCCGAGGCGUAAGAGCCAUUAUAGCCAGCCCGCAUACACUAAAAGGUUGAAUCUAUCAAAAGCGUAAGAGCCACUAUCGCCAGCCUAAAAUUCAGCUAUUCGAAUGUCAAAUAAGCUCGAGUUGAUGCACGACUUGGGGACUGAGCCCAAAAUAGGUGGCCCAAGUAUGCCUAAGAGCGAAAGUAUGUAAGAGCCUACGGGCCAGUCCAAUGAGCCCCAAGGCCACAUCACUACUCUUAGGAUUCCUACCAACACAAAAACCAGCUCGCCUAGUCAAAAUCGAGACAGAAAAGGAUACGAAAGGAGUAAAGCCGCAAGGUUUUCUUUCAUACACAUGUGCGAAAAAGUGCAAUCUCCAUCUACAAACGUGCAUCGAAAAUGCUACAUACAGAUGGCAUAAUCUAUGGCCCCCGAGGGCUAUGUCUUGCCGGACUCAUCUUUGCUUUCCUCAACAUCAGGCAAAAGCAACUGAGCAUCACACUCAUCCGCCCUUGCUAGCGCCAAUUCCUCCGAGAGGGCGAAGCCUCUAGCAUAGAUAUCUUCGAGGGUCUUUCUUCGAGAUUUGUAGCGAACAUAUUCUUCAACCCUCCCUUAACAGUCACAUAUCUUUCUCAGGUCAUCUUGAGCAUCGACAACAUCCUUUGAAUAGAUCGCCAUCUCCUGGUAAGCCUAAGUCCAUCUUAUCGCAGCUUCUACCCAGCAUCGACUAUCUCAGCCCUGAUUUUCGAAAGCUCAGACUCGAGUUUCACAAUCAUUUCUGUCUGAACCAAAGCAUUGUCACAAGCUAUGCAAAGUUGAGCUUCAAAAGUAGGAACUUUGGCCAGAGCAACCUUCCCCUCUAAAGCCUGAGCCUCCGCCCGAGCUUUCAAUUCAUCAUGCUCACGCCUGGCCCGGCCAAAAUCAUAUCGAAGGCUCUCCAAGGCCACCGUCUUUUUCUGCAACUGAAAUAAACUAUGUAUUAGCCCCGGGAACAGGAGGCAAAAUCCAUAAUCACCCGGGAUAGAAAACUACCCGCUCCUUCAAAUGAUUCUUGUAAUUCAUGCUCCGGCCAACCUCAUAAUGCAAGUGUACCAUCUCGGAUUCCUUUUCAUCAUAAAGGAGCCUCAGGGAUCUCUCCUCAUCCAGAGCUUAGUCUGGCUUCACAACGAAGCAGCCUAGAGCUUGUCAAAUGCCUGCAAAAGAAAGCUCAAUAAGGGAGGGAAGGUGCAAAGCUCGAAAAACCUGUGUCGAAACUCACGGCAAAGUGAAGCCGCUGGGCUUUCUCUAAGGCCGAACGCAUACCUGCCAAUCCAAUCCCUUCGGCCCUAAAAGAGCCUACUUCGGUCAAAACAUGGUUGUUCGGUGUAUACGACCCUGGGUUAAUCGUAUCUCCCGAACGUCUACCGACUGAAAAAAUAGGUGACAGCAAUGGAGAAACCCUCUUACCAAACAGGGGGAUCGAGAUUAACCCCAAUAAAAUCAAGGUCAUCGAAGAAAUCAUGGUGGUAAAUAAUGUAAAGUCGGUGCAAUAGCUAACAGGUCUGAUAGUGGCUCUGGGCAAAUUCAUAUCCAUGUUAUCCGACAGGAGCCAUCAUUUGUUUUGCUUAAUAAAAAGAAAGAACAACUUCGAAUGGACUCCAGAGUGCCAACGCGCCUUAAAGGAGCUGAAGCGAUAUCUGACUAGCCCACCUCUGCUCCACAUGCCCAAGGUGGAUGAAACACUAUAUGUACACCAGGCCGUAUUCGAGAUAACGGUAAGUGGCGUGCUAGUUUGAGAAGAUCAAGGUACACAAUGCCCUAUUAAUUACGUAAGACGGACCCUAGGGGAUACUGAAACCACGUAUCCACACCUUGAAAAAUUGGCUCUUGCGUUAAUAACUACAUCGCGAAAAUUGAAACCCUAUAUUCAAUGCCAUCAUAUUUGUGUUCUAACGACAUACCCGCUCCGGAGCAUAGUGCACAAACUCGAAUUAUUAGGCCGACUGGCCAAAUGGGCCAUUGAACUCGGGGGGUAUGAUAUCGAGUAUCAACCUCAAACAACAAUUAUGUCCAAGAUUCUGGCAGACUUCGUGGCCGAUUUCUCGCCCUCCUUCUUGCCCGAGGUAGAAAAGGAACUUUUACUUAAAUUAGGCACGUCUUUCGUAGUAUGGACCCUAUUCACUGAUGAUGCCACAAACGUGAGAGGUUUCAGACUAGGUAUAGUCCUAAAGCCACCUACUAGCGGUGUAAUCAGGCAAUACAUAAAAACUGCAAAAUUGACUAACAACGAGGCCGAGUACGAGGCUUUGUUUGCAGGUUUAGAACUGGCCAAAAUCCUGAGAGCCGAUACCAUAGAAGCAAAAUGCGAUUCACUCCAGGUAGUGAGCCACGUGAGUGGGAGCUACGAGGUCCGAGAAGACAGGAUGCUAAGAUAUUUUGAUAAACUCCAAGUUGCUUUACCUCGCUUCAAUAAAUGGACUUUAGUCCAUGUACCUUGAGAGCAGAAUAGCGAGGCCGAUGCCCUCGCAAACCUGGGAUCAUCUGUUGAAGAAGACGACCUACUCCCCGGGGCUAUCGUUCAACUAUCUAAAUCAGUAAUCGAGGAAGGUCAUGCGAAGAUUAAUUCCACCAGUCUAACAUGGGACUGGAGAAAUAAAUAUAUUGAUUAUUUGAAAGACGGAUAAUUGCCCUAGGAUCCAAAGGAAUCGAGGCCCAUGCGAACCAAAGCAACCCGACUCUCUCUAAAUGAGAACAAGACUUUGCAUAGAAGAACUUUUAAUGGCCCUCUAGCAGUGUGCUUGAGGCCAAGGGAUACAGAUUAUGUACUCCGGCAAAUUCACGAGGGCAUCUGCAGAAAUCAUUCCGAUGCCGAUGCCUUAGUCUAAAAGGUAAUCAGAGCAGGUUACUAUUGGAACAGGACACCAAAGAAUUCGUCCGGAAGUGCGACAAAUGCCAGAGAUUUGCCCCGAUGAUUCACCAACUCGGUGAACUGCAGCACUUGGUCUUACCGCUAUGGCCAUUCAUGAAGUGGGGGAUGGACAUCGUCGGACCCCUACUAAUGGAACCCGGUAAGGCUAGAUUUAUUUCAUUUAUGACUCUCUAUUUCUCCAAAUAGGUAGAAGCGUAGGCCUUCGAAAAGAUAAGAGAAAAAGAAGUCAUCAGCUUCAUCUGGGACCACAUCAUGUGCCGAUUCAAAAUUCCUUCCAAGAUAACAUGUGAUAACGGGAAGCAAUUCAUCGGGAUCAAGGUAACACAAUUCCUUGAGGAUCACAAAAUCAAGAGAAUCCUAUCGACCCCCUACCACCCGUGUGCUAACGGCCAGGCCGAAUCCAUAAACAAAACCAUCAUCCAAAACUUAAAAAAAAAAUUGGAAAGUGCCAAGGGAAAGUGGACAAAAAUAUUGCCUGAGGUGAUGUGGGCAUACCGAACAACUUCAAAAUCGAGCACAGGGGUGUCACACCUCCUUUUUUACAUCUACACCCACAGAAGGGCAUAAAGGAGUUUUUCCACUUAAAGGACAAUCAGAACGGGAUUUAAUUAUUAAUUAUUCAGAGUCACCACUUGGGAGAUUAAUGGUGUCCCAAGUCACCGGUUUAAUCCCGAACCGAGGAAAAUACUGACUCUAUAUUACAGUCUGCGAACAAGAAAUCCGGAUAAGGAAUUCUAUUAACCCGGGAGAAGGGGUUUGGCAUUCCCGAGUUUCGUGGUUCUAGCACGGUCGCUUAACUAUUAUAUUUGAUUUUAUCUGAUUUUGAUACAUGCUAGCUUAUGUGCCUUUUAAUUUUAAAUCACUUUUAUUAUUAUUAUUUUUUAAUAAGAAUUGCAACGUCGUGAAAACGUGUCUCGAACCACAUCACAUCAAUGCACCCGUGGUUGUUGACACAUUUCGACUCCAUUGAGAUUUGGAUUUGGGUCACAUAAAUGCGCACCCGAAUUUAAGAAAGCAAAUUGUUAAAAGCGCGCCUAAAGAGACUAACGCAUUAUUAUCUUUGGAGAAGGCCGUGAAAUUCGCUAAACGGCCCAUCCCGAAUUCUAAGGACAAAACAAGAUUAAGCAAAUGAAGGCCGUGUAGUGGUCAUUUUUGUUCGGCACAAUACCCCUCUAAUUCUUAUUUAAAAGAAGGCUACAUUUGGAGGGCCGUAAACUUUCAAACCGCUUUUAUUUAUUUAAGGAAAAAUCAAGGUCAUUUAAAACAUAUCGCAAGCCACGUCACAUGAAAUGUACCCGUGGUUUGCGACCUGCUUUAUCUAACCUUGUUCGAAAUUGGAACCGGGUCACAUGAAAUGCACCCCCGGUUCCCUCAAUCUAAUUACGUAGUUUAGUUGGUGAAUAGCAACCCAAUAUUUAUAUUGUGACGACAUCGUGUCCAGCUAUAACCAAUUCGAGCAAGCAUAUGAAUAGAUAACUAAAUGAGCAAAUUCAAAACUAUGAAAAAUAAUUACAGAAACAACAGGAUUGUUCUCACCAUUCUAUGAACGUUUUGAUUUCCAAUUUUACAACACCAUAUUGUCACACGUCAAAUAAGUCUGUAACUUAACCAAACUAAUUCAAAGAAUCAUCUUACAAAACAGAAGAGGAUUUAACAAUGAACUAAUUCAGCGUAUUCAAAAACACACAUAGAGGCAAGGAAAACAAUCAUGUCUCAUUCAACUUAACAAAUAUCAAAUGCGAAAGAAUUUUUAACAGAGUAAGGCGAGAAAUGGACCUCAAUAUAGCCGGAAAUUGGUGGUAUCAAUGUUUAACACCCAAAAAUGUGACAAACCGUGAACGGAAACCGAAUUACCACCGGAAGAUCAACCAAACAUGAAUUCAAUCCCACACUUUAAUCACUGUUUGAGUUGACAAAGAUUAGGUCUAGUAGCCCACGAAACCCUAUUUGAUCUCUUCAAUUCCAAUGAAACCCCUUUUAUGAAUUACUUAACAGAUUUGAAAACACUCAGAUUUCUUUAGAUAAAAAAAUGAGUUGUUUCUCAUUCCCAAGCGUUAGAAGCUGCAAAAUGCCUACACUUGACAAAAGACAUUGUCCUUGACGGAUCUGGAAAGUAAUUCAAAAUAGCUUUAUAUUGAUAAACGAAGCUGGAGAUUUACAACAUCACUUGUCAGACAAAGCAGACCCACGAUCGACAGACUGGAAUGCCAAAACUACGGACCAGAACCUCAAAUCGUCGCUGGAAAACUCUACAUCCAAACUCAACGUAACUGCUAUCCAGUAAAAGGAAGGGAAGCUUCAGAAACUUUUGUAAUGCGGGAUUCACGAACGGGAUUCACGGCUGGACUCCUUGGUGGUCGCUGAUGGUGUGUUCUGGUUUUCAGUUGGAGCUCGUUUGUCCGUCGAGAUGAUGGAGGAGGAAGAUGAAGAGAUCAUCAACUUGUGUUCAAGGGUUUUGGCGAGCUUUGUUUAACGGGAAGAAGAAGGAGCAGCGAUGGCCAUGGUGUUUACCAAUUCUCUGUCCGGCGGCGACUAUAUGUGUGUGGUCGUUUGGAGGUGAGUAACGACAACUGGCAUGAAGAUGGAGUUUUUUGGGUGCUAGGGUAUUUACUCCAUUGUUGUCUUAGGUUCAAGGUUGAAGAAGGAAUAGUAGUUAGGGUUGGUCUUGAAGAUGGAAGGUGAAGGAGUGAAGGGGAGGGAGGUCCGUCUAUCGCAACUAUGUCAGCUGCUUCUUCGGCUCUUUUCGUUCAGCUUCUUUCAUUCCCC
rnacentral:lncRNA from 1 species